GGGGAUAUAGCUCAGUUGGUAGAGUGCUUGCCUUGCAUGCAAAAGAUCCUGGGUUUAAUCCCCAGCACCA
rnacentral:tRNA from 1 species